GACAGAGGGUGCAAACGUUGUUCGGAUUUACUGGGCGUAAAGCGCGUGUAGGCGGCUUUGCAAGUCGGAUGUGAAAGCCCACGGCUCAACCGUGGAAGUGCACUCGAAACUGCAGGGCUAGAGUCCUGGAGAGGAAGGUGGAAUGCUUGGUGUAGAGGUGAAAUUCGUAGAUAUCAAGCGGAACACCGGUGGCGAAGGCGGCCUUCUGGACAGUGACUGACGCUGAGACGCGAAAGCGUGGGGAGCAAACAGG
rnacentral:rRNA from 1 species